UCCCCCUCUCCUCCAAAUCUUCCUCGGCAAGACUCCUCGAACUGUCCAACACACGCGCAAUCCUCAAACCCUAGCUCCUCCGAUCCAAACACCUCCUGGUCCCUCGGUCCAUCCGCCAUGGCAUCGCCCGCCGGUGACAGCCACCUCUUCGCCGGCGUCCACUUCCUCCUCAUCGGUUUCGACUGCGUCUCCAUGUCCCAGUACCGGUCGAAGUUGGUGCAGAGCGGCGGCACCGACGCCAUGCAAUUUGGCGGCGGCUGGACCCACAUCGUCGUGCGCGGCCUUGUCAACGUUGACCCGGUCUGCGCGGUGGCGCGGGCGCAAGGGAAUAAGGUUGUCAGCGAGAUGUGGGUGGAUGAUAGCUUGGAUCAGGGUUGCCGAUGCUGAUAAAGUUAUUUAUUGGCCAGCCAGAGAUUUGAAGGGAAUACCUGGUAGUGGCUCACUGCAGAUUUGCUUGACGGGGUACCAAAUGAAGGACCGCAAAGAUAUAAUGUUAACUGCUUGCCAUUUGUAUCCUCAUAUCUCCUAGUCAAAACUCUGAAACAUGGCAACCUUUAGUUAAUUCUUCAAACAUAACAUAUAUAGUGAAGUUUUGGUCACAUUGUGCAGUGAUUUUCUUUGACUUUUAUAAUUUCCAUUCUAAACCUCCCUUUUGCCUUCCUACCAUUAUGGUUGUUUAUCAAUUGCAGACCAAUUUAAGUGAAAGUUUAUAGAGCACGUAACACUGAGCGCAUGUGUUUCAGAAGUGAAUACUGUCCUCUUUCCCCUUCGUCGGGUCAGCUCAGCCCCAAAGAACUGCAUCCCACUUAUGAGUAACUAUAGUAAUGCACAUGUUAUCAUUCUGAUUUCUUUGCAGUAUUCAAGGAGUUCAGUGACUGCUUUAGAUGGUGAAAUUUUUGCCACUACUGAAUUCAUUUAACCGAAGUCCAAAACAUAUAAACCUAUGACUUCUUCUCUGUAGCUGAUAGUUCCUAUUUGUUCUGUACCUAUUAUAUGGGUUUCACAUAUCUAGUCUUGAUGAUAAUUUUGUUCACUUGUCCUUUUGUGGAUGCCUGAGCACCUUCAUUUUGGGAAUUCGUCAGCAGAUACUUGAGAUGUAGUUGAGUUAUUGGAUUUUGUGGUUUACUGGUUAUAUAUCUUGACUUAUAAUGUACUGUGUUCCUUUUCGUUCUUAAUGCUGAAAAUGGCACAAUUCUCCAAACCUUUGUUAGCACCCUCAGUCACUCAUCUUGUUUGCUAUAAAUUUGAAGGUUUGUUGCUUUUAGCAGACAGUCAGUGCCAUAAGUAUGCAUGGAUAGUUCAUUUUCGUUUUGUUGUUUUUCCCUCCACGGUUCUUCAUUGCUGUUUCUUUGUAGUAGUGAGCAUGCAUUUGCAAGCGCUGACAUAAUUUUUUUAUUUCCUACUGUUAUUGGUAGCUCUUUGUUUUAGAUGUGAUGUUAGUUUUGUUGCUAAGAAUUAACUCUAUGGACGAGUGAGAAUUUUAUGCCCAAAUUGGCAUUUUGGCGUCAGUGACAUUUUUUCCUCAUGUUUGUUAUCAGAUUAGGAUUUUGGUGAACUAGUUCGUGUAUAAAAGUCGUAUGAUAUCUUGAGUUUAAAACUUAAAUGAGCAAUAUAUUAAAAAUAAUCUCAGCCACUUGGCUUCACGUUUUAGGCUAGAGGGAACCAAGACGUAAGUGGCAAUGUUGAAGUAAGAAUCUUUGAUGUCAUUUGGUGGUUGAACACAUAGAUGGCAUUUUUUAGUGCGAGUCUUUGCUUUUCUUGUCUUUAUGUGAGACAGAUAAAAAGUUAUCUCAUGAUCAUAGACAGCCUUUGGUAUGAGUGAUGUAAAAAAUGGGAUGUGUUUUUGCUCCUGAUCUUUUACCUUUUUUCCAGUUAUUUUUUGGGCCUUUCUAGUUUGAACUGCUGGUUUCUGAUAAUACAAGUCGGAGAGAAAAUUCUCUUUAUGGAAAGAGAGUGUUGGUGCACAAUGAUGAACAUAUGAGAAGUUGCAAGAUUUGGUAAAAAAUGCGUUGCGUAUCUUGUGAAAAAAUCGUUACUCUUUGCAUAGUCUAGAAAAGCCUCUGGUGAAAAUAGGCUUCUAGGCAACUUAAAAUAAUCCACAACAUGCCUAUAGAAUGUAUGUUUCGGAAAUUCCUAUGUGCGUGUAUAUGUCAUGAUGCUCGAAAGUUUUUGUAUAUGCUCCUUAAAUGCAACAUCACAGUUCUUCAAAUGAACUAGGUGAGAAGUACAAGUGUGCGGAAAGGUUGGGCAUCAAGAUUGUUAAUCACCGGUGGUUGGAGGAUUGCUUAAAGUCAUGGAAAAUCCUACCAGAAGAUGAUUAUAGCGAGAGUGGCUGGGAACUAGAGAUAGUGGAGGCGCAAGCCAAGGAACGCCUCAACUUCCCGAUUCGGGAUCGCCAAGUUCGCAAAUGGGAAGUAUGCCGUGAAUAAAGCAAAGAAAAGAAGCAGCAAGGUGCUCGCCGCAGCCCUGGCACUCCUAAAGCGCGCCCAUCCGGAGGUGGGCACCGACUUCUUGGCGUGCCAUGAUCUUCCUCCCGACAUCCAGGACCAGACCGCCAAGUACGCCAAGGUCGCAAGAGCCUUUGUUGCCUCGUGCUUUAGCAAGCUCGAAGCAGACGAAGCCUGAUGAACAACUUUAAAGAUGGACCUUGUUUGUAGAUACAGCCUGAACUUCUUGUGUUAGAAUAAAGGUUAUGAAAUCUUCAGAGAAAACCGGUGAAAAGAAGUCAAGGGCCGUCACCUGUCGUAGCGUUCUGUCCCUGCCCCUGCCUUUCAUCGGUGAAAUGUAUUCCAGAAAGCUUUCAGAAAUGACCUGGUAUCUUUCGCUCAUUGCAACCGGGAGGCACAAAAAGUGGCGUAACUUAUGAUUCAAAUUCUCCUAUGUAUUGGGAUGGGAUGAUGAUCCUUCUAGUAUUAUCCUAGCUUAUAUUGUGGACAAUGUAACAUUUGAAUUAAUUAAGUGGCUGAAGAUUAAAUGGCA
rnacentral:rRNA from 1 species